rnacentral:rRNA from 1 species
UUUUCGGACAACGGAAGGUGAGGACAGUGGCGGACGGGUGAGUAACGCGUGAGGAACCUGCCUUUCAGAGGGGGACAACAGUUGGAAACGACUGCUAAUACCGCAUGACAUAGCGGAAUCGCAUGGUUCUGUUAUCAAAGAUUUAUCGCUGAAAGAUGGCCUCGCGUCUGAUUAGCUAGUUGGUGAGGUAACGGCCCACCAAGGCGACGAUCAGUAGCCGGACUGAGAGGUUGAACGGCCACAUUGGGACUGAGAUACGGCCCAGACUCC